rnacentral:rRNA from 1 species
AGAGUUUGAUCCUGGCUCAGGACGAACGCUGGCGGCGUGCCUCAUACAUGCAAGUGGAGCGACGAACCAGGAUUUAUCCUGGGGCAAAGCCGCGAACGGGUGAGUAACACGUGGGUAACCUGCCCCGAUGAUUGGGACAACCCGAGGAAACUCGGGCUAAUACCAAAUGUGCUCCUGGCUGUGAUGGCCAGGCGGAAAGGAAGCUUCGGCCUCCGCAUCGGGAUGGGCCCGCGGCCCAUUAGCUAGUUGGUGGGGUAAUGGCCUACCAAGGCGACGAUGGGUAGCUGGUCUGAGAGGACGAUCAGCCACACUGGGACUGAGACACGGCCCAGACUCCUACGGGAGGCAGCAGUAGGGAAUCUUGCGCAAUGCGCGAAAGCGUGACGCAGCAACGCCGCGUGGGGGAAGAAGGCCUUCGGGUUGUAAACCCCUUUCAGUUGGGACGAAGCUCCGUCGGUUAAUAGCCGGCUGGAGUGACGGUACCUUCACAAGAAGCACCGGCUAACUACGUGCCAGCAGCCGCGGUAAUACGUAGGGUGCAAGCGUUGUCCGGAAUCAUUGGGCGUAAAGAGCGUGUAGGCGGCCCGAUCAGUCCGCUGUAAAAGUCCAGGGCUCAACCCUGGGAUGCCGGUGGAUACUGUCGGGCUAGAGUCCGGAAGAGGCGAGUGGAAUUCCUGGUGUAGCGGUGAAAUGCGCAGAUAUCAGGAGGAACACCAAUGGCGAAGGCAGCUCGCUGGGACGGUACUGACGCUGAGACGCGAAAGCGUGGGGAGCAAACAGGAUUAGAUACCCUAGUAGUCC